GUUUGAACUCACCUUCCAUCGCGAGUCUCGAACGCUGUUCAAUUGAUUCAGAUUGAAGCGAAAUUAUGUGAAUGUGAAGCGGAUCAUCUUGAGGGAGAAACUCGACACGAAGGCGUCCUGUCAGCGUUAAAUACUCAGGGCAGCCGUAUGGGAUUCUACCUUCUCCUCAAAGGCGUCGAGCUCGGCGUCUGUGAUCUUCCAGGGAUGCUCCUUCCUCAGGGCUUCGGCCUGCGUCGUCUCCUUCGAACCCUCGUGCAGACGGAACGGCUCGAUCAUGUCCUGGAAGAGUUUCCAGCUAACACACAGUCAGCAGAUGUGAGAGAUGUCCAUCCCCUGAUUGAUUCUCAUUAUCACGGUCCCGUGCUCGAAAUCCAAGGCAUCGCUGCGGGGAGAACAAAACCCUCGAGUGAGAGCGAGACAGACGGACGGGAAGGUGCAUGAGAACAUCUGCUCACCAAAAACACCUCACAGGUCAGACACAGCCCAUAAUUCUUAGUGAGUGAAUGCGCCACAUCCAGCAGCGCCGGUCUGGUUCUGGGCGAUCCUGUCAUCACGAGACACUUGGGUCUACAGCAGGAAUGGAAAUAGAUAACGUCAGAGCGUUGUUCACUGCGUUUAUGAAGGUCACGGCUUGAGUGGACGAGCCCCAGUUCACAUCUGAGAGAAGCAGGAGACAUCAGUAACGUAAAUAUAGAGGAAGAACUCGAUGCCGUAGGUGACCAGUGCCGCCCACCAGUUAAUCACAAACAUCACGGCACAGCAGAGCACGGCUCCGAACAGAGACAGCCACAUGUUAUAGUACUUGUACGCCGGUCUCCA